UACGGGGGGUGCGAGCGUUGUCCGGAAUCACUGGGCGUAAAGGGCGCGUAGGUGGUUUGAUAAGGGUGUGGUGAAAGUCCGGGGCUCAACUCCGGAUCUGCCGUGCCGACUGUCAAACUCGAGGGCUGUAGAGGCAGACGGAAUUCCGGGUGUAGCGGUGGAAUGCGUAGAGAUCCGGAGGAACACCAAAGGCGAAGGCAGUGUCCUGGGGAGUACCUGACGCUCAGGUGCGAAAGCCAGGGGAGCGAACGGG
rnacentral:rRNA from 1 species